UACGUAGGGUGCGAGCGUUAAUCGGAAUUACUGGGCGUAAAGCGUGCGCAGGCGGUUCGUUGUGUCCGUCGUGAAAGCCCCGGGCUUAACCUGGGAACUGCGAUGGAAACUAGCGAGCUGGAGUGUGGCAGAGGGGGGUGGAAUUCCGCGUGUAGCAGUGAAAUGCGUAGAGAUGUGGAGGAACACCGAUGGCGAAGGCAGCCCCCUGGGCUAACACUGACGCUCAGGCACGAAAGCGUGGGGAGCAAACAGG
rnacentral:rRNA from 1 species